AAGUGAAAACACGUGCAAGUCAGGAGCUCAUACGAAAGCCACUGUGGCACAAUGAAGUUGAAUGCUGGCCUGGCUCACCAGCCGAGUGGGAUCCUGAGACCUCUCCAGUCCACCAAGGGCAAAAUAUGGCCUCUCUCUCCUGCGGUGUGGAGGAGGUAGAACAUGAGUGUACAUGCUAGGACCUGAAAGAUGGUGAACUAGGCCUGGGCAGGGUAAAGCCAGAGGAAACUCUGGUAAAGGUCUGUAGCAGUCCUACAAAUUGGUCAUCCGACCUGGGCAUAGGGGCAAAAUACUAAUCAAACCAUGCAGUAGCUGAUUUCCUCCAAAGUUUCCCUUAGGAUAGCUGGUGCUCUGGCACGCAAACCCACACAGUUUUAUCUGGUAAAGAGAAUAACUAAAGUCUUGGGGCUGAAAUGAUCUCAACCUAUUCUCAGAAUUUAAAUGGAUCUAGGCAUAGAAUGCAGGUGCCUACUGGGCCACAUUUGGUAAGCAGAAUCGGCGCUGCAGGAUGAACCAAACUCCGGGUUAUGAUGCCAAUGCUGACACUCUUCAGACCCCAGAAAAGGUGUUGGUUGAUAUAGACAGCAGGACGAUGGCCAUGGAAUUUGGAAUCUGCUAAGGAGUGUAUAACUACUCACCUGCUGAAUCAAUUAGGCAUGAAAAUGGAUGACGCUAGAGUGUUGGGCCCAUGCCUAGCUGUUGCUGGCAGUCUGGAUACACGCAAGAGGUUGGGAGCAGGAAAGGUACUCAGGCCCAGAUCCCCCACCCCGGGGACCCUAUGCCGCAAAGAGUAGGAGGCUGCUCGGUGGGCCUUGAAGCCUAGGGUGUGGACCUGGGUGGAGCCACCACAGGCGUAGACCUU
rnacentral:ncRNA from 1 species